GAGAUUGCACCAGCCUGCACCAAACCCUAGCCUCGCUUCACCCGCAGCCGCGCAAGUGCGCCGCCUCGCCUCCUCCUCCCUCACGCGCGCCGGCCUGCUCCCUCAUCCUUCUCCUCCCCUCGCAUACGCCGUCAUCGCCGUUGUCGCCACCGCCGCCGCUGCCACGACGUCGCCGCCGCUGCCAUGACGUCACCGCCGCCGUCACUACCGCCGUCGUCGACGCCGCCGCCGCCACUGCGCUUUUCUAGCCGUCGUUGCCACAUCGGAAGAUCCAGCCACCCAAACGAGAGAUCCAAUGGAAUUGAAGUGAGAAGGGAACAAUAGAGGAACUAGGGGAAAAGAUGGGCAAAAGAUUGUGCUACUCUGAUGCAGUUUUCAGAGACUACAUUAUGUAUUUAUAUUCAGACCACAUUCCAAUUUAUGAGCAUAUUACAAUCAUGCAAUGUUUAUCUCAUCGACAAACUAUUGAAUGACCAUCAUUUUGGAAAAUGAACAAGACAUCUCACUUUCAGCAACUGCAGGUGCUUGCAUUUGAAUUAUAUUGAGGUAUCCAAACUUCCAGAGUAAUGUUCUAUUCUAUUUCAGCAAAAUGAUUUAGGCUUAAUUCAUCAUGAUGUCAAAUGUCAAGUAUAUGCUCUGUCCCACCUAUGAGAAAGCAACAACCUAUUUGACAAAGUGACAGUUAUAGUUUGUAGGUCUUCCAAUUUAUAUGUACAAGAUACAAAUGAAGAAUAUUCAUAAAUGAUUGUGCGAUAAGUUCAGACCCACAUGAAAGGCUCUGCAACAUGUGUUCAGCUUUGAUUUUUUUUUAAAGAGAUCCUAUGAGAAAUUCUAGAUGCGCUUCUUCAUUCUAUGAUGGGUUGUCUAUAUACUUCCUCCGUUUCACAAUAUGGAACAAAUUAUCUUCUUGCAAAACAAAACUCCUACUUUUGUUGAGAGGGGCAACCCACUGUCCUCAGCUCAUGAAAAAAAAUAAUGAAGCUAUCAGUUGAAGAACCAAGCACAGUAAGAUGAUAGAGGCUUAACCUGAGCAAUAAUUUCCUUCUCAAUAUGGAACGAUAGCCAUAUUUCAGUAGCUACAUGAUCUGUUGUUUUUCUACCACAUAUUAAGUUUUCACUAGGUCAAUUAUUAAAAUGCAGUUUAGUUCUUUGUGAUACAAAUGAAAGGUAUUUUAGUUAAGUUAUUUUGUUUUGUGCCAACGUAUGGAAACACCAUUUCUCCCUACUUUACAGCCAUACAUAUUUUAGUUUUUUGAGUUAGUCAUGCUUCCCUAACCAACUUCUCUAUAUAUUUUGUGGGCAUAUUUACCUUCUAUUGUAAAAACUGUCUAGACCAAUUCUCAUGGAUUGCUCUUAUUAUUCUCAUUGUAGAUGGUGAUAGGGAUCAGCAAGCGUGCAGUACAUCUCAAGCACAUGCAAGCUGGUGGUUGGAUCUUUACUGGCCAUAGCUACUACCCCUCCAUACUCGUAAAGGAAGUCGUUUAGGACAGCGACACGUUCUCCAAAACACAACUUUGACUUCUUAUUUCUAUAAAAAUAUUUAUUGAAAAGUUAUAUAUGUAUACUUUUAUGAAAAUAUUUUUCAAAACAAAUCUAUACAUAUAAUUUUUACAUUUUUAAACUCAACAACUUAAGAGUUAUUCAUGAUUUAUAUUCCCAAUGUUUGACUUAAAUAUUGUCCUAAACGACAUCCUUUAUGAAUAUGGUGUAGUAAUUCUUUUUUUAUGAAAAAAAUCCUCAAUCAAAUAAAUCUCAAAUAUCAGAUUAUAUCUGGUCAGUGUAACUAAUGUGUUAUCCUGACUCUGAAGUCAAUUUUGAAUAAUCUUGAAUUGGAUCAAUGCAAAGAUAUCUUCUAUUCUUUA